AACGCACAUUGCGCCCGCCAGUAUUCUGGCGGGCAUGCCUGUUCGAGCGUCAUUUCAACCCUCAAGCCCCCGGGCUUGGUGUUGGGGAUCGGCGUGCCCUCGCGGCGCGCCGUCCCCGAAAUCUAGUGGCGGUCUCGCUGUAGCUUCCUCUGCGUAGUAGCACACCUCGCACUGGAAAGCAGCGCGGCCACGCCGUUAAACCCCCCACUUCUGAAAGGUUGACCUCGGAUCAGGUAGGAAUACCCGCUGAACUUAA
rnacentral:misc_RNA from 5 species